rnacentral:lncRNA from 1 species
GUCACACACACUGUUUGACAUCUGUUGGUUUUUGUUCAGGCUGCAGGGAUCAUUUCUCACUGUGGGGAUCAGACUUAUAACAGGCGCAGUAGUAGGUGGCUGAAUGACUGAGUUUAACUGUCUGGAUCUGCAACUCACAGCCGUUCUUUUUAUUCACAGCUGAGAAAUCAUCUUUCUGAGGAUGAUUGUAACCUGAUUCAACUCGACCAUUACUCUUAUCAAUAUAAAGAAUCACUCUGAAUGUUUCUGUGUCUUUCUUCUGGUACCAGAAUACAUCAUCAUCGUCACACUGGUCAGUUCCUCCACAGCUGAAGGAGACGGUUUGACCAACUCUCCUGGUCAAUGUUAAAUGAUCCUGACUCAGCUCUGCUGCCAUGGCAACCAGCGCUGUAGAGAAACAGACAGAUAGAUGAAGGUUAGUGUGACAGUGUUUGUUAAAGGUUGACUUUGUUGGCUCCUGAUUGGCUGGAAACACUCACCUGAACACAGACAGCACAGAGCAGCAGCUGGGAGGAAAAGCAUUUUGUGCAGUGGUGUUUCCUCUGGUGAACCUGGGGGAGAAGUGGCGCUCUGAUGCAGCUGAGGCCAAACAAGGACGAGCUGUGAGAUCAGACGAGGGCCACGUGGUUUCUAACAGGUCCUCAGACCUCCCAUCAGCCCCUGCGGCCGACAGAUAAGGCUGCCGCUGCUGAUUGACAGCUCGGCUGAAGCUGCUGUGUGCUUUUCAUUUCUUAUUGACACUAUUUCUCUUUGUUUUAUUCUCAUUAUUUGGAGCUUUUUUCUGGAUGAUUCUUUUUUCCCAGACUUCUCUGUUUCUCUGAACUGAUUCAGUGAGAAGUUUCUUCGUCUUGAUUUGAAUCUGACAGCAGAUGAAAAAUCUGGGUGACGAUGAUGCAGAAAUAGAAAAAAGCAUUCCUGUUGGCACAAACACAUUCAGAAAGCCCGUAAAGCGAACACAAGGAGGACUGGAGCCGAACGACCCGCCCAGCUGCACUGGAACUCGAGGUCUCCUGCUCCCUCCGUGAACCACUUCACCAGUGAGCCCCUCUACCACACCUCGCCUACCCAGCUGAUUUCCCCAAGACCUGACCCAACCCGACACACCAGCCACACCACGAGGGGCCUACACCGCUGCACUCAUUGCUUUGCUGCACAAAGAAAAAUAAAGCACCCACCUUAGUGGGUUUUCACUGAACUUUGAUUCUGGUCCAUUCUUGUCCCGCCACAGGAUCUAAAAAAUGUUUGCUCUCAGAGUGGUAAGAUAUGUGGGGACACGAUGCAGAGGGCCUUCCGCGAAUGGGCCUAUGCCAAAUUUGAGGUUGACAAGCUGUCUCAGGUC